UACAGAGGUCCCAAGCGUUGUUCGGAUUCACUGGGCGUAAAGGGUGCGCAGGUGGGUUUGCAAGUUCGAUGUGAAAGCCCCGGGCUUAACCCGGGAAUGGCUUUGGAUACUGCAGAUCUGGAGGAUCGGAGGGGGGACUGGAAUUCUUGGUGUAGCAGUGAAAUGCGUAGAUAUCAAGAGGAACACCAGUGGCGAAGGCGAGUCCCUGGACGAUACCUGACACUGAGGCACGAAAGCUAGGGGAGCAAACAGG
rnacentral:rRNA from 1 species